AACGUAGGACGCAAGCGUUAUCCGGAGUUACUGGGCGUAAAGCGCGGGCAGGCGGUUCUGCCAGUCUGAUGUGAAAUCUCCCCGCUCAACGGGGAGCAGCCAUUGGAAACUACAGAACUGGAGUCUGACAGAGGUAGGCGGAAUUCCGGGUGGAGUGGUGAAAUUCGUAGAUAUUCGGAGGAACACCAGUGGCGAAGGCGGCUCACUGGUCCGGUACUGACGCUGAGGUGCGAAAGCGUGGGGAGCAAACAGG
rnacentral:rRNA from 1 species